rnacentral:rRNA from 1 species
GAUGAACGCUGGCGGCGUGCCUAAUACAUGCAAGUCGAGCGAAUGGAUUAAGAGCUUGCUCUUAUGAAGUUAGCGGCGGACGGGUGAGUAACACGUGGGUAACCUGCCCAUAAGACUGGGAUAACUCCGGGAAACCGGGGCUAAUACCGGAUAACAUUUUGAACCGCAUGGUUCGAAAUUGAAAGGCGGCUUCGGCUGUCAGUUAUGGAUGGACCCGCGUCGCAUUAGCUAGUUGGGGAGGUAACGGCUCACCAAGGCAACGAUGCGUAGCCGACCUGAGAGGGUGAUCGGCCACACUGGGACUGAGACACGGCCCAGACUCCUACGGGAGGCAGCAGUAGGGAAUCUUCCGCAAUGGACGAAAGUCUGGCGGAGCAACGCCGCGUGAGUGAUGAAGGCUUUCGGGUCGUAAAACUCUGUUGUUAGGGAAGAACAAGUGCUAGUUGAAUAAGCUGGCACCUUGACGGUACCUAACCAGAAAGCCACGGCUAACUACGUGCCAGCAGCCGCCGUAA